rnacentral:rRNA from 1 species
UCGGGAAUAUUGCGCAAUGGAGGAAACUCUGACGCAGUGACGCCGCGUAUAGGAAGAAGGUUUUCGGAUUGUAAACUAUUGUCGUUAGGGAAGAUAAAAGACAGUACCUAAGGAGGAAGCUCCGGCUAACUACGUGCCAGCAGCCGCGGUAAUACGUAGGGAGCGAGCGUUAUCCGGAUUUAUUGGGUGUAAAGGGUGCGUAGACGGGAUAGCAAGUUAGUUGUGAAAUCCCUCGGCUUAACUGAGGAACUGCAACUAAAACUGUUAUUCUUGAGUGUUGGAGAGGAAAGUGGAAUUCCUAGUGUAGCGGUGAAAUGCGUAGAUAUUAGGAAGAACACCAGUGGCGAAGGCGACUUUCUGGACAAUAACUGACGUUGAGGCACGAAAGUGUGGGGAGCAAACAGG